rnacentral:rRNA from 1 species
UACAGAGGGGGCAAGCGUUGUUCGGAAUUACUGGGCGUAAAGGGCGCGUAGGCGGCCUUCUAAGUCGAACGUGAAAUCCCCGGGCUCAACCCGGGAACUGCGUCCGAUACUGGAAGGCUUGAAUUCGGGAGAGGGAUGCGGAAUUCCAGGUGUAGCGGUGAAAUGCGUAGAUAUCUGGAGGAAUACCGGUGGCGAAGGCGGCAUCCUGGACCGACAUUGACGCUGAUGAGCGAAAGCUAGGGGAGCAAACGGG